GAUGAAGAACGUAGUGAAAUGCGAUAAGUAGUGUGAAUUGCAGAAUUCCGUGAAUCAUCGAAUCUUUGAACGCACAUUGCGCCUUCUGGUAUUCCGGAAGGCAUGCCUGUUCGAGAGUCAUUAACAACCGUUUCGAUCCCUUUCUUUCAGAAAUUACAAAGAGGAAAAGGGUUUGGUUAUGGUGGAGGAGGGAAAGGGAGCGUUUAGCCUGUAAAAAAAGAGGCUGUGUUCCGCCUCCCCCCCAAAAUUGUACAGGCGGUCGUGUGCGCCCACGCAUCGAGGUGUUGUAAAAGCUGCCACGGCACUUUUCACCUGUGCAGUGCGAGAUUGGCCAGCCGGUUUAAAAACCCCUCCAAACAAUCAAAGGUUGACCUCGGAUCAGGUAGGGAUACCCGCUGAACUUAAGCAUAUCAAUAAGCGGAGGA
rnacentral:misc_RNA from 1 species